rnacentral:rRNA from 1 species
AGUGAACGCUGGCGGUAGGCCUAACACAUGCAAGUCGAACGGCAGCACAGUAAGAGCUUGCUCUUACGGGUGGCGAGUGGCGGACGGGUGAGGAAUACAUCGGAAUCUACUUUUUCGUGGGGGAUAACGUAGGGAAACUUACGCUAAUACCGCAUACUACCUACGGGUGAAAGCAGGGGAUCUUCGGACCUUGCGCGAUUGAAUGAGCCGAUGUCGGAUUAGCUAGUUGGCGGGGUAAAGGCCCACCAAGGCGACGAUCCGUAGCUGGUCUGAGAGGAUGAUCAGCCACACUGGAACUGAGACACGGUCCAGACUUCUACGGGAGGCAGCAGUGGGGAAUAUUGGACAAUGGGCGCAAGCCUGAUCAAGCCAUACCGCGUAGGUGAAGAAGGCCUUCGGGUUGUAAAGCCCUUUUGUUGGGAAAGAAAAGCAGCAGGUUAAUACCCCGCUGUUCUGACGGUACCCAAAGAAUAAGCACCGGCUAACUUCGUG